AAGUCUGCGUAGGCGAUCACAUCUGAGAGUCAGUCCAGUUUUACUCUUUUAACUGCAAGUCAUCAUCAAACAUGGAUAGACUUCAUGUUGUUCUUGCCCUUCUUUUAGGAGGUCAUUGGAUUUCUGGAUCAGUGGUGGAUCUGACAGUGAGGUUGGGAGAAAACAUCACUCUGUACUGUGACUGUAAAAUAUCAACUGAGGAAUAUAUUGUGUGGUAUAGAAACUGUACCCAUGAAAAUCAGCCUCCUCUUGUUCUACAACUAAAAGAGGAUCCAUGGAAACAAAUUAGUGACCGAGGAACUUCAGUGAAUUCUCUCCCUCGCUUCCACUUUGUAAAGAGCCAGUUCUCUGGAUCCUAUGAUCUGCUGAUUACGAAUAUUUCGGAUUCUGAUGAGGGUCUCUAUUACUGUGGAACUGAAAAGGAACACUUGGUGGAUGAAGCAAGCGUUAAGGUCAAAUAUGUUCACAGAUAUGGAAGUAACACAACAAGAAUCCUAAUCAACUCACCUCAUGCCAGUCCUUGCCCUGACUCCAG